CGAAAGGCGACAGAUCAUGGCUUAAUCUGGGAUUCUGCCUCUGGUGAGAAAGAACUUAAGAAGCAUGGACAUCAGAAGGUUUUUUACCAAAAGACCGGAGCCGGCUGGCGCGCUGGUACUGCACCCGGCCCGUGGCCUGGCGCGUCUGUCGCGUCAUCGUCGCGGUCAGCAUCGCCUUCAACAUCCCCUACUUCCUGCCGUUCACGGUGGACGCCGACGACGGCAUCCGGCCCACAGCCUUCUACUUCAGCAGGUACUACCAGGUGCACAACUGGGUGCGGUUCGCGGUGCUGGGCCUGGGUGCGGCGCUGUUCCUCGGCGUCGGGAACCUGGUGCUGCUGGUGUCGCUACGGAGGAGCUGCGCGCGCCGGCGCACGCUGCUCUCCCAGCGCAAACACUGGGAGGAGCGCCGACUCAAGG